UAACUCAGAAGUUUUAAGUUUGUUAAGCAU
rnacentral:piRNA from 1 species